AGGACAGUGGAACUCCAUGUGUAGCGGUGAAAUGCGUAGAUAUAUGGAAGAACACCAGUGGCGAAGGCGGCUGUUGGUCUGCAACUGACGCUGAGGCUCGAAAGUAUGGGGAGCGAACAGGAUUAGAUACCCUGGUAGUCCAUACCGUAAACGAUGAAUGCUAAGUGUUGGAGGGUUUCCGCCCUUCAGUGCUGCAGCUAACGCAUUAAGCAUUCCGCCUGGGGAGUACGACCGCAAGGUUGAAACUCAAAGGAAUUGACGGGGGCCCGCACAAGCGGUGGAGCAUGUGGUUUAAUUCGAAGCAACGCGAAGAACCUUACCAGGUCUUGACAUCCUUUGACCACUGUAGAGAUACAGCUUUCCCUUCGGGGACAAAGUGACAGGUGGUGCAUGGUUGUCGUCAGCUCGUGUCGUGAGAUGUUGGGUUAAGUCCCGCAACGAGCGCAACCCUUAUGACUAGUUGCCAGCAUUUAGUUGGGCACUCUAGUAAGACUGCCGGUGACAAACCGGAGGAAGGUGGGGAUGACGUCAAAUCAUCAUGCCCCUUAUGACCUGGGCUACACACGUGCUACAAUGGACGGUACAACGAGUUGCGAACUCGCGAGAGUAAGCUAAUCUCUUAAAGCCGUUCUCAGUUCGGACUGUAGGCUGCAACUCGCCUACAUGAAGCCGGAAUCGCUAGUAAUCGCGGAUCAGCACGCCGCGGUGAAUACGUUCCCGGGCCUUGUACACACCGCCCGUCACACCAUGAGAGUUUGUAACACCCGAAGUCGGUGGGGUAACCCUUUUAGGGAACUAGCCGCCUAAGGUGGGACAGAUGAUUGGGGUGAAGUCGUAACAAGGUAGCCGUAG
rnacentral:rRNA from 1 species